rnacentral:rRNA from 1 species
UUGGUUAAGUUAGAAAGGGCGCACGGUGGAUGCCUUGGCACUAGGAGCCGAAGAAGGACGGGACUAACACCGAUAUGCUUUGGGGAGCUGUACGUAAGCGUUGAUCCAGAGAUUUCCGAAUGGGGGAACCCACUAUCUUUAGUCGGAUAGUAUCCUUACGUGAAUACAUAGCGUGAGGAAGGCAGACCCAGGGAACUGAAACAUCUAAGUACCUGGAGGAAGAGAAAGAAAAAUCGAUUUCCUGAGUAGCGGCGAGCGAAACGGAAAGAGCCCAAACCAAGAAGCUUGCUUCUUGGGGUUGUAGGACACUCUAUACGGAGUUACAAAAGAAAGUUAUAAAUGAAGCGGUCUGGAAAGGCCCGCCAAAGACGGUAACAGCCCGGUAGUUGAAAUAGCUUUCCCUCCAGAGUGGAUCCUGAGUACGGCGGAACACGUGAAAUUCCGUCGGAAUCCGGGAGGACCAUCUCCCAAGGCUAAAUACUCCCUAGUGACCGAUAGUGAACCAGUACCGUGAGGGAAAGGUGAAAAGCACCCCGGAAGGGGAGUGAAACAGUUCCUGAAACCGUGUGCCUACAAGUAGUUAGAGCCCGUUAAUGGGUGAUAGCGUGCCUUUUGUAGAAUGAACCGGCGAGUUACGAUUUGUUGCAAGGUUAAGCGGAAAAAGCGGAGCCGUAGCGAAAGCGAGUCUGAAUAGGGCGAAUAAGUAACAGGUCGUAGACCCGAAACCAGGUGAUCUACCCAUGUCCAGGAUGAAGGUAAGGUAAUACUUACUGGAGGUCCGAACCCACGCACGUUGAAAAGUGCGGGGAUGAGGUGUGGGUAGCGGAGAAAUUCCAAUCGAACUUGGAGAUAGCUGGUUCUCUCCGAAAUAGCUUUAGGGCUAGCCUCGAGGUAAAGAGUCAUGGAGGUAGAGCACUGUUUGGACUAGGGGCCCUUCUCGGGUUACCGAAUUCAGAUAAACUCCGAAUGCCAUGUACUUAUACUCGGGAGUCAGACUGCGAGUGAUAAGAUCCGUAGUCGAAAGGGAAACAGCCCAGACCACCAGUUAAGGUCCCCAAAUAUAUGUUAAGUGGAAAAGGAUGUGGGGUUGCUUAGACAACCAGGAUGUUGGCUUAGAAGCAGCCACCAUUGAAAGAGUGCGUAAUAGCUCACUGGUCGAGUGACCCCGCGCCGAAAAUGUACCGGGGCUAAACAUAUUACCGAAACUGUGGAUGAACCUCUUUAGAGGUUCGUGGUAGGAGAGCGUUCUAAGGGCGGUGAAGUCAGACCGGAAGGACUGGUGGAGCGCUUAGAAGUGAGAAUGCCGGUAUGAGUAGCGAAAGAAGGGUGAGAAUCCCUUCCACCGAAUAUCUAAGGUUUCCUGAGGAAGGCUCGUCCGCUCAGGGUUAGUCGGGACCUAAGCCGAGGCCGAUAGGCGUAGGCGAUGGACAACAGGUAGA